rnacentral:rRNA from 1 species
GACGAACGCUGACGGUGUGCUUUAGGCAUGCAAGUCGAACGAGAAAGCCCUUCGGGGUGAGUAAAGUGGCGAACGGGUGAGUAACACGUGGAUAACCUGCCCUUCGCAGGGGGACGAACCGGAGGAAACUCCGGCUAAUACCCCGUACGUUUGUCAGGGGGCAUCCCCUCGACAAAGAAAGGUAGCUUCGGCCAUCCGGCGAAGGAGGGGUCCGCGUCCCAUUAGCUAGUUGGUGAGGUAGAGGCUCACCAAGGUGACGAGGGUAGCUGGUCUGAGAGGAUGAUCAGCCACACUGGGACUGAGACACGGCCCAGACUCCUACGGGAGGCAGCAGCCAGGAAUCUUGCACAAUGGGCGAAAGCCUGAUGCAGCAACACCGUGUGGGCGAGGAAGGCC